rnacentral:rRNA from 1 species
CAGUAGCCGCGGUAAUACGUAGGGGGCAAGCGUUAUCCGGAAUUACUGGGUGUAAAGGGAGCGUAGACGGUUAAACAAGUCUGAAGUGAAAUGCCGGGGCUUAACCCCGGAGCUGCUUUGGGAACUGUAGAACUGGAGUGUCGGAGGGGUAAGCGGAAUUCCCAGUGUAGCGGUGAAAUGCGUAGAUAUUGGGAGGAACACCGGCGGCGAAGGCGGCUUACUGGACGACAACUGACGUUGAGGCUCGAAGGCGUGGGUAGCAAACAGGAUUAGAUACCCCAGUAGUCCCUGUCUCUUAUAC